UACGUAGGGUGCGAGCGUUGUCCGGAAUUAUUGGGCGUAAAGAGCUUGUAGGCGGUUUGUCGCGUCUGCCGUGAAAAUACGAGGCUCAACCUCGGACUUGCGGUGGGUACGGGCAGACUAGAGUGUGGUAGGGGAGACUGGAAUUCCUGGUGUAGCGGUGAAAUGCGCAGAUAUCAGGAGGAACACCGAUGGCGAAGGCAGGUCUCUGGGCCACUACUGACGCUGAGAAGCGAAAGCGUGGGGAGCGAACAGG
rnacentral:rRNA from 1 species